UGGGGAAUUUUGGACAAUGGGGGCAACCCUGAUCCAGCCAUGCCGCGUGAGUGAAGAAGGCCUUCGGGUUGUAAAGCUCUUUCGGCGGGGACGAAACGGUCCGUGACAACACCACGGACUAAUGACAGUACUCGCAGAAGAAGCACCGGCUAACUACGUGCCAGCAGCCGCGGUAAUACGUAGGGUGCAGGCGUUAAUCGGAAUUACUGGGCGUAAAGCGUGCGCAGGCGGCUCCUUAAGUCAGAUGUGAAAUCCCCGGGCUUAGCCUGGGAACUGCGUUUGAAACUGAGGGGCUAGAGUGUGGAAGAGGGGGGUGGAAUUCCAGGUGUAGCAGUGAAAUGCGUAGAUAUCGGGAGGAACACCUGUGGCGAAGGCGGCCACCUGGUUGGAUACUGACGCUGAGACGCGAAAGCGUGGGGAGCAAACAGGAUUAGAUACCCAAGUAGUCCCUGAGCGGGCUGGCAAGGCGCAU
rnacentral:rRNA from 1 species